UAGAGUUGUCUUAAAAUUAUUUCCGGAAGAAGCUAAUGCAAUUGUGGUGCAAAGGCCAGACACUCCACUGGCUGAUGAAGAAGCAUUUAAAAAUCUAAAUGACUGGCUGGAUGAUCGCAGCAAUUUUGCUCAUAUGCAACACCACUUGCACAUGAAGGCCAAAAAUACGACAAAUGAGAAAGAGUGUGCAACCCUCUUGAUGAAUAAAGUAUUCUCAAGAGAUCUUUGAAAAAUUGUGUCAUGGAAAGGAACGAAGGGGACAAAGCUGGCCCUGGAUACCACCAAUAUCCUAGAAUUGUUGCAAUGUGUUGUCUGUCAACUGUUUGACAAAGACACAAAUUUGCUAGAAUUUGAAAGCACCCUUAAGAGGUGGCUGUGCAUCAGUGGCCAGCGCAAUUUUGAUUAGAACGUCUAAAAGCCUAACUAUUAGCUG